rnacentral:rRNA from 1 species
UACGGAGGGUGCAAGCGUUAUUCGGAGUGACUGGGCGUAAAGCGCGCGUAGGCGGUUUGCUAAGUCUGAUGUGAAAGCCCUGGACUCAAUCUAGGAAGUGCAUUGGAUACUGGCGAACUGGAGUGCAGGAGAGGAGAGCGGGAUUCCAGGUGUAGAGGUGAAAUUCGUAGAUAUCUGGAGGAACAACAGAGGCGAAGGCGGCUCUCUGGACUGUUACUGACGCUGAGGCGCGAAAGCGUGGGGAGCAAACAGG